rnacentral:rRNA from 1 species
CGUUACAGGUUCUCAGUGUGCUUCUGGCAAAACACCAAUUUUCUAUGGUUGACCUCGGAUCAGGUAGGGAUACCCGCUGAACUUAAGCAUAUCAAUAAGCGGAGGAAAAGAAACCAACAGGGAUUGCCCCAGUAACGGCGA